rnacentral:misc_RNA from 1 species
UUUCCGUAGGUGAACCUGCGGAAGGAUCAUUAAAGUUAUAGUCCCCCGGCCCCUCCGGGCUGGGGUCUUCUAUACCACCCUUUGUUUAUUACACCUUUGUUGCUUUGGCAGGCCUGCCCUCGGGCUGCUGGCUCCGGCCGGCUCGUGCCUGCCAGAGGACCUAAACUCUGUUUGUAUAUGAAGUCUGAGUACUAUAUAAUAGUUAAAACUUUCAACAACGGAUCUCUUGGUUCUGGCAUCGAUGAAGAACCAGC